rnacentral:rRNA from 1 species
UGGGGAAUAUUGGGACAAUGGGCGCAAGCCUGAUCCAGCCAUGCCGCGUGAGUGAUGAAGGCCUUAGGGUUGUAAAGCUCUUUCAGUGGUGAAGAUGAUGACGGUAACCACAGAAGAAGCCCCGGCUAACUCCGUGCCAGCAGCCGCGGUAAGACGGAGGGGGCUAGCGUUGUUCGGAAUUACUGGGCGUAAAGGGCGUGUAGGCGGAUCGGUCAGUCAGUGGUGAAAGCCCGGGCUCAACCUGGGAAUUGCCUCUGAUACUGCCGAUCUAGAGUCCGGGAGAGGGUAGUGGAAUUCCCAGUGUAGAGGUGAAAUUCGUAGAUAUUGGGAAGAACACCAGUGGCGAAGGCGGCUACCUGGACCGGUACUGACGCUGAGGCGCGAAAGCGUGGGGAAGCAAACAGGAUUAGAUACCCUGGUAGUCCACGCCGUAAACGAUGUCUGCUAGACGUCGGGGGGUCGCA